rnacentral:ncRNA from 2 species
AGAUUUCUUCGGGGCAGGGUGAAAUUCCCGACCGACGGUGACAACUAUUAGCAAGUUGAAGUCCGUGACCCGCGUAUUGCGGUGGACCCAGUGUGAGUCUGGGACCGACAGUAAAGUCUGGAUGAGAGAAGAAAAUU